GAUCCCAAAGAGGAUUUGCACUGGCAAGGCAAAAUGACUUGUUUCAACCUUUUAGAGAUAACCUGUGGAGUAUUUGAGAAAAAUGGCUUAAGAAAUUUAGUCAGGUUUUAGCUGUAGUGCCAUUUCCUCAGACUGGCUUUCUCUGUCCACUUCAACAGCACAGCCCCCCAUCUCCAUUCUGAAUCUCAGUAAUUGCCUUUUCCCUUCCUAAUACUAUCAUGAUUUGUAAUUUCUUCCAUAUUUACAGACUAGCUUUUUAUCUUCACUAGCUUUUUAUCUUCACAGUCUGCACAGUAACUGACAUAUACUAG
rnacentral:lncRNA from 1 species